UUUCAAGAAAAAUGAGAACAUCCAAUGGCCUUAUGGGGCAGUAAAGUAUACUCUGCCAGAUCUAAUUCUCACUGGACCACACUAGAUAGUAGUAUCAGCUUCCUAGCCUUCUCUCCUGAAUCUCCACCUGUAAAUUAGGAGACUGAGAAGAUCAUCAUAAAAAAUCUCUUACAGCUAUAAAAUGUUGUGGUAUUGAAGGUCCAGGCAGAGGGCAUGAGCACCUCACCGGAGGGUGACAUCUAGGGGAAAGAAACCCUGAUUUAAUGUGAACUGGAGUCCUGUACUAUUGAAAAGAUUGGGCAACACGAGGCAGAUGCCCAGAACCCCAGGAAGAAGGGCGACGGGCCGUGCCACCAGGGAGAAACAGCAGCCCGGGAGAGAGGCAGCCCCUCCCUGGAGGCAACCCGGGCAUGUGGAGGGUUGUGAGCAGCUGAGCAGGCCUCACCCACGAUGGUCUCUAAUCAAGGAGUGCUCCUGAGGCUAUUGGGGAAGGUAUCCACCCCUCACCUUCACAGUCCCUGCCUGCCAGUGACAACUUUGCAGGUGACCAGCUAACCCCGUCAUCCCUGUUGAGAGGAGUUGGUGCACAUCAGUUUAAGACAGGGUUGUGUGUGUACAUACUACCUGAAACUACUACAACUGUUGUUCAGCCAUGAAGCGAGUCAGCCCAGAGCAAAGCCAACUCACAGAGUGUGACAGGGAAAAGAUGGGAAAACCUGGUCCUGAUGACAUCAUUGAGGCAAAUGGUUGUACUAGGCCUGGAGCGUGUUCAACCUCUGGACAUCCUAUAAUGUGAAAUAAUAAAUUCCCUUGUUGUUCAAGCCAGUUAGAGUCAGGGUUUUCUGUUCCUUAAAGCCAAGAGCACUGACUUGAUAAACCACAAACUGCAAGCUAUUGGUGGGUAGGAAACACAGUAAGGACAAUGUGUUUAAAAGAUCAUGUCGAGAUUUUAAGAGGAAAACAGAUGGCAAAAAAGGGGUAGUUGACAUCAAUGGGGGGCUUAACCUUCUGUUGUUCCUAAAAUCAUCUCCAAUCAUUCCCCUGGCCUCUGGACCUGUG
rnacentral:lncRNA from 1 species